rnacentral:tRNA from 1 species
UCCCUGGUGGCUCAGACGGUAGAAAAUCUGCCUGCAAUGCAGGAGAUCUGGGUUCGAUUCCUGGGUUGGGAA